AACGAACGCUGGCGGCAUGCCUAACACAUGCAAGUCGAACGAGACCUCCGGGUCUCGUGGCGCACGGGUGUGUAACGCGUCGGACCCUGCCGUUAGGUUUGGAAUACCUCCUUGAAAGGGGUGCUAAUACCGGAUAAUUUCUUCGGACAAAAGAUUCAUCGCGCUAGGGUGAGCCCGCGUUCGAUUAGCUAGUGGGUAGUGUAUAAGCCUAUCACGGCGACGAUCCUUAGCUGGUCUGAGAGGAAGAUCCGCCACACUGAGACUGGGAAACGGCCCAGACUCCUACGCAAUGCAGAAGUGAAGUAUCUUGCACUACGGGCGAAAGCAGGAUCCAGCAAUGCCUCGAGAGUCAUGUAGGCCUUAGAGGUGUAAAGCGCUUUUAUACGGGACGAUUAUGACAGUACCGAGAGAAUAAGCUCCGGCUAACUCCGUG
rnacentral:rRNA from 1 species